ACCACCGUGGGUCCUCCAAGUAGCUGUGGGUGACAGGGACCACCACGUCACCUCCUCAUCACCACCUCCAUGUGUCGGAACCAUAACUCACGUACGAGUGACAGGGACCACCGUGUCACCACCUCAAUGUCAUCUCCAUCUGUUGGGACCACAGUGUGACCACCACAACCAUGUGUGGGUGACAGGGACCACCGUGUCACCUCAUCAAUGUCAUCUCUAUCUGCUGGGACCACCAUGUAACCUCCUGAUGACCAUCUAUGUUAGGACCACAGUGUGGCUCCCACAACCGGUGACGGGGACCACGGUGUCACCUCCUCAGUGUCAUCUCUGUGUGUUGGGACCACAGUGGGACCUCCACAACCAUUUGUGGGUGACAGAGACCACCAUGUCACCUCCUGAUCGCCACCUCCGUGUGUUGGGACCACAGUGUGACCACCACGACCAUGUGUGGGUGACGGGGACCACCGUGUCACCUCGUCAAUGCCAUCUCUAUCUGCUGGGACCACCGUGUCACCUCCUGGAUGCCAUCUCCAUCUGUUGGGACCACCGUGGGUCCUCCAAGUAGCUGUGGGUGACAGGGACCACCACGUCACCUCCUCAUCACCACCUCCAUGUGUUGGAACCAUAACUCAUGUACAAGUGACAGGGACCACCGUGUCACCACCUCAAUGUCAUCUCCGUGUGUUGGGACAACCGUGUGACCACCACAACCAUGUGUGGGUGACAAGGACCACUGUGUCACCUCGUGGAUGCCAUCUCUAUCUGCUGGGACCACCGUGUCACCUCCUGAUGACCAUCUCUGUUGGGACCACAGUGUGGCUCCCACAACCGGUGACGGGGACCACGGUGUCACCUCCUCAAUGUCAUCUCCAUGUGCUGGGACCACAGUGGGACCUCCACAGCCACCUAUGGGUGACAAACACCGUGUCACCUCCUGAUGACCACCUCCAUGUGUUGGGGACCACCGUGGGAGCACUACAACUCACCUGCAGGUGACAAGAGACUGCCGUGUCAUCUCCUCAAUGUCAUCUCCAUGUGUUGGGACCACAGUGGGUCCUCCAAGUACCUGUGGGUGACAGGGACCACUAUGUCACCUCCUGAUCGCCUCCUCCUUGCAUUGGGACCACAGUGUGACCACCACAACCAUGUGUGGGUGACUGGGACCCCUGUGUCACCUCCUGGAUGCCAUCUCCAUCUGUUGGGACCACUGUGUGACCUCCACCACUGCCUACAGGUGCCAGGGAGCACCACAUCACCUCCUGAUGACCAUCUGUGUGUGUUGGGACCACAGUGGGUCCUCCAAGUACCUGUGGGUGACAGGGACCCCCUUGUCACCUCCUGAUCACCACCUCCAUGUGUUGGGACCACAGUGUGACCACCACGACCAUGUGUGGGUGACGGGGACCACCGUGCCCCCUCCUGGAUGCCAUCUCCGUGUGUUGGGACCACCGUGGGACCUCCACAGCCACCUACGGGUGACAAAAAAACACCGUGUCACCUCCUGAUCGCCAUCUCCGUGUGUUGGGGACCGCACUGGGACCUCCACAACCAUUUGUGGGUGACGGGGACCACCGUGUCACCUC
ensembl:lncRNA